CGCCUUUGUUGCGAAGAAUGACGAAGGCGGGCUGAUUUUUUCUCUCUACAUUUUUCACCCGAAAAUUAAUUAUUUCCAGUGCUUAGCUGUAGAAUAGUGGGUCAAUUGAUUGGAUACAGUCACACUACACUACUUGUGAGAUGUUCCGACCAUUGGGAUCACGUCUGGGGGCUGUGGGGUACAUUCAACGGAGCUGCCGGAGCCUCUUCGUGGGCGCACCACCUGUUGCAUCCGAGACUGUGCGGGAGGUGCCCACACUGACGGAUACAUUUGGGCGGAAUCACACCUACUUGAGGAUUUCUCUGACGGAGCGAUGCAACCUCCGGUGUCAGUACUGCAUGCCCGAGGAGGGGGUACAGCUGACGCGACGCGAGGAGCUUCUCAGCACGGAGGAAAUGUUCAAAUUGGCUGAGCUGUUUGUGCGUGAGGGGGUACGGAAGAUUCGCCUUACGGGCGGAGAGCCAACAGUGCGGAAGGACAUUGUGGACAUUGUGGGGGGACUGAAGAAAAUCCCACAGCUCGAGAGUGUGUCAAUCACAACAAAUGCCCUCAUUCUCACACGAAUCCUCGUGCCAUUGCAACGUGCUGGCCUCGAUGGGCUCAACAUCAGCCUGGACUCCCUCAUUCCGGGGAAAUUUGAACGAAUCACCCGCCGGAAGGGCUUUGAGCGUGUCAUUGCGGGCAUUGAUCUGGCCAUUCAGCUGGGGUAUCGCCCAAAAGUCAACUGUGUCGUCAUGAAGGGGCUCAAUGAGGAGGAAAUUGUGGAUUUUGUGGCAUUCACACAAGAUCGCAAUGUUGACGUUCGCUUCAUUGAGUACAUGCCCUUCACGGGGAAUAAAUGGGAAACGGACAAAAUGGUCUCCUUCCGGGACAUGAUGACGCGCAUUAAGGAGAAAUUCCCGGACUUUCAUGCCCUACCAAAUGGACCAAAUGACACGUCAAAAGCCUUCAAAGUACCCACAUUUGCUGGCCAAGUGGGCUUCAUUACAUCCAUGACAGAGCACUUCUGUGGCACGUGCAAUCGCCUGAGAAUUACAGCUGAUGGAAAUUUGAAAGUCUGUCUCUUUGGCAACACUGAAAUCUCCCUGAGAGACGCCCUACGUGGUGGAUGCUCAGAAAGUGAUCUUAUUGCCAUGAUUUCAGCAGCUGUGAAUAGGAAGAAGAAGCAGCAUGCUGGCAUGCUGAAUUUAUCUAAAAUGGAAAAUCGACCCAUGAUCCUAAUAGGAGGAUGACAAAUCCUCACAAAUAAUAGAAUUUUAUUUCUUAAACAUUGUGAGACAAUUUUCUUGCCAAAUAGAACACAAAGAGAAAGAACAAAAAAAAAAAAUAUAAAGAAUUUAACAAGAAGAAAAAUAGAGUAGUAAAAAAAAAGUGAAAAGAGAUGAGAAAUUGCUUGAGCUGUGCGUGGGUGUAAUUGCAGAUUUUCCCAUGGCACCAAGGGGAGCACCACAGCUGGAUGGGAUGGUGCGAGAUCUCCUGGCAGUUCAGCGGGUGAAUGUUCAUGGGCUACGCUUCAUGUCCACUGGAAGCUUGUCGCACGUGACACCCGAGGGGAAGGCCAAAAUGGUCGAUGUGAGUGGGAAGAAUGUGAGUCAGCGUGAGGCACGAGCACGAGCUGUUGUGGCGGUUGGCCCGCAAAUUGCUCAUCUCAUCCGGAGCAAUGAAAUUCGCAAAGGGGACGUGCUGUCGGUGUCGAAGAUUGCUGCAAUUCUCGCAUCGAAGCGCACAUCGGAGAUCAUUCCGCUCUGCCACAACAUUCCACUGAGUCUCGUGGAUGUCACCACGAAGCUCAAUACGCAGACAAAUGAGGUGAUUGUGGAGUCUCUUGUGCGCUGCGACGGGAAGACUGGAGUGGAGAUGGAAGCCCUCACGGCUGUCACAGUGGCUGCACUCACAAUCUACGACAUGUGCAAAGCUGUGUCGCACGAUAUUGUUAUCCGGGAUGUGAUGCUGGUGGCUAAAUCUGGGGGGAAGAGUGACUUUGCACGUCGUGAGGAGCCAAAGGAGGAACUCAAGACGAUCACACUCAAAUACAAUCGUAGCCCGGCUGAGGAGAAAGAUGAACGUUUCUAUCCAACACCCAUCUAGUCGCUUCUUCUCCUGCUUUGUCCACUCUAUGCAUUGUGUCUUCCACCCACCCCCGCGCAUUUCCUUGCUUCCUGCUGCUCCCCCCACGUAUGCUUUAAUCACUGUGAUGGUUACCCUCUGCAUUCCCAGCAGCUUUUUAACUCUUGUUGCUCUUGCAGCCUUUUAUGGGCACAAAAUUGAUGAAAUUUAGCACGUUCCGGACAUUUUCUUCUCACUUCCUGACCUGAAAUUGUGCUACUCUUACACCAAAACGACCAAAUCUCUUUUUACAGAAGAAUGUCACAAACGUGCUAAUUUUCAGCUCAAGCACUCUUCUUUUUUACAAGAAAAAAAAACUUUUUAUAUUCUUAUAUAUUGUUACUCACCUGAGAAAAGGGAAACAAGAAAGAAAUUAAACUAUUUUUUAUCAUUUACUCGAAAA